UCAAAAGUGCCUCCAUCUUAUGCUGCAGUAAAGGUCAUUGGUGGAGGAGAAUGAGUGAGAGGGGAGGGCAAAUGAGGGGGGAGCAGGGAAGGAAGAAAUCUAGCAGUCUGGUGGCUUUUUUGUUUAUAGAAAUCAACCAUAUGUGUCCCCAGUAAAGAUGUUAACAGGCCCGAUCUGGCACAGACAGUGAAGAAAAGGCAAUGGCAUUGAGAGAGACUGUGCUUUCUGAAAAUAUCCACAGAAACACUGCACCAGAAAUUUCCUCUGAUAUGCUGGAGAUCAGCAUCCCCAUCAUUCACAGACUGUCAGGGCUGCAUCCCAGACAUACACAUGCGUGGAAUUCUAAGCACAGCUGAGUUGCUUCCAAGACUCUGCUCAGCAAGACCAGAAGACUAUUUUUGUUCAGAACUGCUUAUCAUGUGGUUGGCGAUACAGCACAGAGACGGUGAAGGCAAUUACCAGGGACCCUACACUGGCUCUCACUGAAGCAUCCUGCUCUAUAAAUGGAUGACAUCAGAGCGCAGUAAAGGUGGUGGCGACGGCAGCGGGGGCAGCAGCUACACCUAUUGCAGGAGCAGCAAUAACCACCCGGAGUUAUCCCUGAACUGACAGAGGAAUGAAAAGAGAAUUGGUGUGAGGGGGAGGGGAACUUUGGAAAGCCGUCAGGUUGUUGAUUGAUUACCAGUUUUCUGCUGGCCUCAUGAAAGUCAUGGUGCGACCGACAAUGAAGGCAUCGAAUACGGAACGGAUCGGAGAUUGUUCAACUGUGAGAUGAGAUGCAAAGCAGGCCAUGCGUGUUCUCUUGAAGACCAGAUCCACUUUAACAUAAACCAAUGGGGCUAGGCCUAUAGCAAGAGGCCCCUAAAAAAACACCCCUGAAGCGCAAUUCUAUUCUAGCUGCUACAGAGUCAUUUUGUUUUGGUGUUGCUCAAACCAUGGUCAUUCCAACCCAUUAGAAGAAACAAGACUGAAGCUGCACAGUGUGGGCCUAAUCAACUUUGUGUCUGGACUGUUUCCAAUUGGUCUAAGAUGGUGUUUUGAUAAAGGCUUGUGCCCUCCCUCCUCGUGGGAAUCAACAUUUCUCCUACAGAAGCAUGUCAGUGCUUCAGAGCCAAGACAUUUCAAAUGAGACAAACCAAUAAUAUAAUUGCUGGGAAAAAACGUAACAGGAAGGCCCUGAGGCCAUUUUGAAACCUAGUGAAGAUUAAUAUAAACAUGCCAAUAUCAAGAAAGAAAGAAAGAAAGAAAGAAAGAAAGAAAGAAAGAAAGAAAGAAAGAAAGAAAGAGAUUAAUCAUUUGAGAAUUGCCACAACGAGCAGGACAAGCACAGGUAUCAGCCAUUCCUUAAGCUGGGGUCCUUCCUUAAAGAUGUCCUCCUUGACAUUGGAAUUUGGUGGCGGAUUUCAGUGACAUUGUAGGAAGACUGAAAUACUGACAUUUUUGCUGGAUGCCUGAUUGGACAGACUGCAUCUCUACUUGAUUCACAGUAUGCAACAAAGAAGGAGUCAACAAUGAUUCUGGAAGAGAACCUGCAGGGGCAAACUGCAUUAUUUUAAAAUUACAUGAAGGAUGAACCAGGACAGCAGUCAGAGACAAGACGAUGCAGAACCAAAACAAACAAGCAAAAAGUAACAAGGGGGGAAAGGCCCACAGCAUCAAGAUUUUUUGCUUCGAAAGUUCUUCUCCAAAUCCUGGUUUAGCUGUGUUUUGUCAUUUAAUCUGAGACUCUACGGAAUAAUUCACGAAAUCAAUGACAUUAUGUUGUAAAUAACAUGUAUAUCAGAGUCUAGUAAGUGAGAACACCCAUAAGCACUUCAAAAUUAAAUGCAAUAUGUAAUGCAGUUCUUCACACAUACUUCAUCUAGUAUGUUCCCUUCUGUUUUCUUGUAACAAAUAUAUAGACUGCGAGACAGGGGAAUUGUACCUCCUUUCUCUUAUCUUUUUCUAUAUACCUGUCUUCAUUUUAUUUAUAUUAUUUUAAAAAAAUAUUUUUAUUGAAUAAAAUAAUACCCUUCUCAUUUUCUGCAAUCUCUUUGCCUAUUUUCUGUUUUGUUUUGACAUCAUCAUAAUCAUUUCUUCUAACAUACAAAAUGACUCAUAAAAAGGUUGGAAACAUAUUUUUAAAAUACACAUUCAUAGCAAAAUUUGAAAAGUAUCUUUUGGUUGCUCUAAGUCCCUCCCUUUUCCAUGCCCCCCCCCCCCCCGCCCUUAUUACAGGCAGUCUCCACAUUACGAACAAGAUAGGUGCUAUAGGGUUGUUCUUAAGUCGAAUUUGUAUAUAAGUUGAAAUGGGUACAUUUUAUUAAAUGCAACUCCAGGCAAAUAUAUAUAAAAAGGGAAAGAAAGUAGAAGUCCCCUUGACUGAAGGUGUCUUCUGGAGGUCCCCUUCCACCUCUACAUCCACAUUGAUUUUAUUCCAGUGAAAUAAAGACAGAAACCACCACUUCCAGGUUCUGGGGGGCAGCAUUAAGCUUUGAACAGUGUAGGAAGGAUUAACACCCUUGUUGCAUUUGUUUUGCUAUCUGUGCCCCUGUUCGGAAGAUUUCACUUCCCUUUCAGUCCUUGUGAUCCUUGGGUUUUGAAAAAAACUGGUUUGUUAUGGAAACAAGGAUUGGUGAUAAAGCUUCAAUGGAAACACCUGUUUCCAGUGAUAACUCUUUCAAGAGUGAAUUUCCCUUCUGAGGGGUAGAUUUCUCUCACUUCUUGUUGUCUCAAUUCUUAACUAUGAGUCAUCUGUAAGUUGGAUGUUUGUAGAUCGGGAACUGCCUGUAUAUUAGCCUUCUCAUCAUGCAUAUGUAGUGGGUCUCUUCAAGAAAUUAAUUCGCUUACAGAAAUAUUUUAGGAUUAUUUUGGCAUAAAUGAUUUCCUUCAUUUAGACUUUAUUGGUGCUAAUUGCUGAACAGUCAAGGUCUUUAGAUAGAAUUAUGUUCAUGCAUGUGAGAAUUGUCUAUUUCUUUUGCUGUUUAGAUGAACUACACUCUAUACACGAGAUUUUAGUAUGAGUAAUUCAGUGUCUGAUUUUACUACACAUGCUUAGAGUGUCAAUUCCCUCCAAAACACAUAAAUUUGAAAUAUAUAUUCCUCACUCUUCAGAAAAUACUUCUUAAGAAACUGAAACCAUGUGAGCAUGACAUUUAAUUCAAGUCCUGUCAUUGUGGAGGUUAUGUUUAUAACUCUUCUGAGGUGAGUUUUAGUAUGCCAAGACCUCUAAAACCAUCCUGAGCUAUGUGUGGUGGUUUCCAGAUUUGAGUCAUGUAAGGCCCAGCUGAGAGAAAUUUUACACCAGCAAUGGGGGAGAAGUUAAAGUGUUAUCAGUAGGGCUAAAACUAGAUGGGAACUAGGAACCAAAAAAAGUAUAAUAAAGAGAUGGAUAGACAGGAACAGCACAUUGCAGCGCAAGACAAUAUAACACAUCAUGACCCUGAAGGAAAUCACUCUCAUUAUGUAUUCUGCAUUUACAUCAUUUUUACCUAAUAUGUCAAAAACUGAGAAACUUAAUGGUGAGGGGGAAAAGACCAAAAGACGUUCUAUUUUGUAGAGUUAAGGAACAAAGUUAAGGCAAUUUAAAUGUCAAGGAGCAGGGAAAUUCAACACUGACAACACUGAGAUCUGUAGCUCAACCUGUAUAUUUUGGAACUAAAAAGAGUAAUACAUUGCACCAUGAUUUGAUAAAUUGUCUGUUAUCGGGAGAAUGCAAAGGUUGUUAGAUAUUUGGCAGACCACUGUGCAUGGCUCGUGGUCGGUGUUUAGUUCAGAUCAUAAUCACAAAUUAUAGAGCUGCAAUCACAGUUCCACAGACUCAGACUAAGAUAAUCAAAAUGCUCUGGCUUUAAAAGAAGAAAAGAAAAAGAAAAGGUUUGACUGUUAAUAAAAAUGUCACAGCUCCAGCAUUAUUCACUGAUGCCUUUAAUUCCUUUUUACAAAGAGCAGGUAAAACCUAAAAAGGGUCCUCGAUUUUUUUCUAUUUAUAUCAAACAAUUUGUGUUUAUCCUGAAUAAAUAAAUAAUAUUGAAUUUUUGUUCAUUCAUUGUUAAUAACUGGUCCAGUUCAGAAAAAGCAGGAGAAUAUGGUUUCUUGCUACUCGAAGGAGACCUUAUGAAUUAUGGUAUAUUCCCCUUUCUUCCCUUUUUCACAUGGCACAUGAAUAAUUUAAAGUAGAUUCUUCAGUUUUAAAUCUAAUCACACAAUGCUAUGGCACCUGAAUUUUUCAUUUACUUAUGCUACAGGUAACAAUGCGCGUGUGUGUAGCUGAUUCGAUAAAACAUAGCUUAACAAACCUUGAUUCCCAACGUUUGGGCAUGGUGGGGAGCUAUGGUUUAUUUAAAAGCAGUAGAAGCCUUUAAUUUCCUCAUCAUGUUUCCUUGUUUCUUGUAACAAAAGGAAAAGGGAAAGAGGGAUCAUCUGUCAUAUAAGGCGAUUUGAAAUUGCCUUAUAUGGUCAGUCUGCAUUACAUGAGUCUACACUGAUCAUAUAAGGCAGUUUCAAACUGCACUGUAUGGCAGUUUAGACAGGGCCCAAUGCUUAAGUAGGCUUUAUAUUUUGCUGUUUGUGUCUGAUUCUGAUAUAAAGUAAGAAAUAAAAGUGCAUUGAUUGUAAACUAAGAAAAUUGUUUAUAUAAUUGUGUAAAAAUACUUGUCACAUGACUUAACUGCUUACAUGUUUCCAUAUGGUAAACAUCUGGGAAGAUGAUCUCUAUUCUGUCAGCCUUAAACAGAUAUCACCUUGUGAUGUACAUACUCCAGGGAAUGUAAGUGGUAGGAGUAAAUUGAAUAAAGCAAUGAACAUCA